rnacentral:lncRNA from 1 species
CUGGGGUGUGUUUUUAUAUGGGCUACUGGGUGUAUUUAUAUGGUUGACUGGGUGUAUAUGGGCUGACUGGGUGUUUUUAUAUGGGUUGACUGGGUGUAUAUGGGCUGACUGGGUGUUUUUAUAUGGGUUGACUGGGUGUAUAUGGGGCUGACUGGGUGUAUUGGGGCUGACUGGGUGUAUAUGGGCUGACUGGGUGUAUAUGGGCUGACUGGGUGUUUUUAUAUGGGCUAACUGGGUGUAUUAUAUGGGUUGACUGGGUGU